CAUGCUCUCUUUCUGUGUUUGUCUCAAAAAAUAAGUAAACAAACAUUUUUUAAAGAAGAAUAAAUAAGCAGAGCUAGAAAAUAGGAUAAUUACUUACAAACACUAAAAAAUCUAUCCAACUCUGAUAUCAGCUUCAAUUAUAAAGUGUCACAAGACCAGGAUGUGGUAAGUGGUGGCCAUAUAAGUAAGUCAUAAAUAUAGGAUCAUGAAAAAGGAAAUAUCAGAUCCAGACCUUGAUGGCAUCAUCAUGCUCACUCCUGGAUAAGAACUCUACCCAAACUCUAUUUGUGGAAGCACUGGUAAUUAUAUAACAGACAUGAACUGGUAUUUACCUAACUUAUCAAUGUUAUACUUCCAUCUGUUCACAUAUCUACCUAUCCAUUUUCUAGCUAGCUACCCAUCCAUUUAUUACCUAUCAAUAGCCUGCUUAUCUAGCUAUCUAUUUUUCCAUGCAUUCACGCAUCCAUCCAACUGUCAUAGGCAAAAUUAUAAAGAUGUCCCCCAAGAUUCCUACAGCCUAGUUAUAGGACAAACACAAACCUAGUUACUGCUAUAAAGGGAAUUUGAAGAUAUAAUUAAGGUUCUAAUCAGCUGCCUUUAAAAUAGGGAGGUUAUUCUGGAUCAUCCUGGUGGGCCUGACAUAAUCAGGUGUGCCUUUAAAGCAGAAGAGGAAGUAGAAGAAAUGAGACAGAAGUGGGAAGCAGGAGACAUUCCAAGAGUAAGAGAGACUUACUCCCUUACUUGUUCCCUUGCUCCCUGGGAACCUUGGUCUUAUAACUAGGAGGACCUGAAUUCGAGCAACAAUCUGAAUGAGCUUGGAAGGAGAUUCAUCUCAGAGCCUCCAGAAAGGGACAACAGGCCUGGCUGAUGCCUUGACUUUGGACACAUGAAACUGAGAUCAGAGAAACCAAUCUAGCUGCCCAGAUUUCUGACCUAUAGAACUAUGAGAUGAAAAUCUGUGCUGUUUUAAGCCACUAGGUUUGUGGUAACAUGUUACAGCAACAACAGAAAACCAAUGCACCAUCCAUCACUCUAUUAACUAUUUAGCUAGUCUCUAUUACCACUUACCUGUUAUCCAUCUAUCCAUCUAUCACUUAUAUGUUGUCUAUACCUGUCACUUAUAUAUCAUUGCUUAUUGUAUCACCUUACCUAUUUUACUUACCUAUUGCCUAAAUAGUAUAUAUUUAUUAUGUGUAUUUCCAUCUAUUCAUCUGUCUAUCUUUGUUGCCUGAACUGACUCAGCUCCCUUAACAGCAGCCUUCUCUCCCUGACUUCCCACCUCUACCCCCAAACACACAUGCUUUCCUCCUGGGAAAGGCCAACAACAACAACCAAACAGUGACAACUUGGAUAGCAACCCCACAGGCCAUAGGAAGCUCUGUGACCUGCACCUUCCCUGGAAUCCCUGUCUCUUCCCAAAGCCUCACAUCUGGCUUCUGCUUUCUCCUUGACCCUCAUUCAAAUAGCCUGCUCAGCUCUGGAUCCUGACUCCACCCUGGGAUGCUCAGCUCCUCCCAACAGUACAGUGAGAGGAGCAGCUUUCAAGGUGAUUUCUCUGCACUGAGGACAUGUCAGUCUCUGGAGAGCCCAUAGCCAGCAUCCUGGUUCUGGAGCAGAUGCGACGGGACCAAUGUCAACAGCAGGAAAAAUAACCCAGGCAUUUGGAUUUGCGCUUUUACAUCUGGACACAGAUGACAUCUGAUACAGAGACAUAAUCAUCAUCACAAUCAUGGUCCACACUCUGACCACUCCAGCCAAGAUCCCCAGCUUCUUCUGCAGCCCCACCGUGAGCUCGGCUUGCUGACAUUCCCCAUGAAGCUUCAACCUAAGUAGGCUCAGUCUGUCCAAUUCCUCCUCCACGUCACUCAAUUCCUAGUGACCUUCCCUGCCCAUCCAGUAAGUGACCCCGUCAGCUAAGGCUGACCAUUCUGUAUUUACACCUUCUUCUCAAUAAGGAAUUAAGAGAUUCAGUGAAGCCAGAGCCAGAUCACCCUUCCAGGAGCACAUCAGGCAGCUCAUAGUAUCUCCAUCCAUGACUGUUUGUCAUUACCUCGCUUUCUGAAUCUUCGUCCAGCUCUCAAUCUGUGCAGACAGCUCCCCGCCAACCCAAUUUGAAUUAAUUUGUCAAGCAAAAUUUUGUGAAAUAAUAUAUCAGCUGCAUUACUGAAGUAAGAUCUAUGACUUCUACUGCAACCCUUUCAUCUUCUACUCUAGCCAUUCCAUCAAUAAAACCAAUCAAGUUUUCUCGGCAAAUUUUUCUUAAUAAAUCAGCUUUAUGGGUCAUGGAUCCAUAUUCUUCUUGA